rfam:Anaerolinea thermophila TNI-1 DNA, complete genome.
GGGCAGUUAGCCAAGUGGCCAAAGGCGACUGACUGUAAAUCAGUUGGGGACACCCCUUCGGAGGUUCGAAUCCUUCACUGCCCA